AAUAGAUACCCAGGUAGUCCACGCUGUAAACGUUGGGCGCUAGGUGUGGGGGGCCUCUCCGGUUCUCUGUGCCGCAGCUAACGCAUUAAGCGCCCCGCCUGGGGAGUACGGCCGCAAGGCUAAAACUCAAAGGAAUUGACGGGGGGCCCGCACAAGCGGCGGAGCAUGCGGAUUAAUUCGAUGCAACGCGAAGAACCUUACCUGGGUUUGACAUGGCCGCAAAACCGGCAGAGAUGUCGGGUCCUUCGGGGGCGGUCACAGGUGGUGCAUGGCUGUCGUCAGCUCGUGUCGUGAGAUGUUGGGUUAAGUCCCGCAACGAGCGCAACCCUCAUUCGAUGUUGCCAGCGGUUCGGCCGGGGACUCAUCGAAGACUGCCGGGGUCAACUCGGAGGAAGGUGGGGAUGACGUCAAGUCAUCAUGCCCCUUAUGUCCAGGGCUUCACGCAUGCUACAAUGGCCGGUACAAUGGGCUGCGAUACCGUGAGGUGGAGCGAAUCCCAAAAAGCCGGUCUCAGUUCGGAUCGGGGUCUGCAACUCCG
rnacentral:rRNA from 1 species